UGCAUGUUCAACUUCCCCACUAUUCUUAUACAUUCCUGGAGUGAGUAUUCUUUGGUACAGCUGUUCUAAGGCGAAUUCAGCCUCCUAUAUGAACAGCUUUACAAAUGUUCAUACCCUUUAUUUCAGAGAACUAAUCACAGAUGUGCACAAAGGCCUAUCUAUACCAUUGUUAGUAAUAACAAACAAGCAAACAGGAAAACCAGGAAAGAACCCAAGUGAUGUAGAGUAGGGAACUGAUUUUUUAAAAAUCUGGCACAUUAUACAAUGGAAAACUAUAUAGCCAAUGAUAAUGACGGUAUCAGAAACACAUAAGGACGUGGAAAAACCUUCCCACCAUAUGUUAGGUAGAAACACAAAGACAAGAAACCAGGAUACAAAAUUGUAUACACAUCAUGAUUCUCUAAUUUCUAAAAAUUACAUUAUUUAUUUAUUUAUUCAUCUAUUUUUUGGUGAGGAAGAUUCACCCUGAGCUAACAUCUGUUGCCAAUCUUCCUCUGUUUUGUAUGUGGGAUGCCUCCACAGCAUGACUGUGGAGUGGAGUAGGUCCACGCCUGGGAUCUGAACCCAUGAACCCGGGUUGCCAAAGUGGAGCACGUGGAACUCUAACCAUUCAGCCACAGGGCCAGCCCCUAAAAAUUACAUUUUUUAUGCACAAAAGAAGACUGGAAUGAUAAUACCAAAAUGUUAAUAAUCGUUCUCCCUAAUGGUGUGAUUAUGGCUGAUUUUUAUUUUCUCUGUAAAUUUCUGUGUAACUUUUUAUAAUAAGAAAAAGUUAUUUUUAAAAGGAAUCUCUGUCUCAACAUUAAAAUAUGCUUUUCUAUUUACAUGAUACAUUAAUAAAUUUAUGACAAAGUCAAACAUAUCGGAAUAGCUGAAAUGAAAGACUGGAUCCCUGUGAAAUACCCACUAGGUUCUAAGAAGUUAGAAUGUUACAACUGUGUUUCACAUACGCAAGACUAAAAUAGUUUCAUUGUACUGCAUUCUCCUUAUCUAGAUAAACCAUACUGAACGUUUCAUUUAAGCACACUGGAUUUUCAGCGUUUUAAUAAAGUUUAGUUUUUCUUUUCCUUUCUUUUGGUGAUAUCCCCCAAAUAGACGUUACCUUCUAUCUCUUUGGAGCACUUGGAUCUCUUAAUUGAAGAGAAGUAUCUCAUUCCAGAGCACAAAGCACCUCGAUAAGUUGUUUCAAGAACAUUGCAAAUAAAACAUAUUUAGACUGCGUCAUCACAUUAAGAUAUCACUGUAUUAAAACACAUUCCUCAGCAAUUACUUACAUAUAAACUUUCUCUUUUAACUGCGUUCCUGGAGAAUUAUCUUCUUUAAAGCUCAUUUUGGAAAACUUCACUCUUUUUUUUCUGAUGACAACCUGUUUUAAGAGCUCUCAGAAACUUAUAUAGUGCAGGGAAGUACUGUUGGGUUUCUUGACAUGAAAAAUAAGAACAAUGCCAGAAUGAUUAGUUAACUCACUAAACAGUGAAGGAAAAGGACACUUUUAGGUUUGCUCAUGCAACUACUUGAAAGAUUCAAAAAGGUUAAUGUUCCUAGAUUAGUGGUUAUGCAAUUUCAAGCGACUUUUUAAAUAUAUAAUUCUUGAAGCUCAGAUAGAAUUCUAGCAUUCUUGUGGGUUUAAAGAUGAAAUGUUUAAAAGGAUUGGGAAUGAAUUUAUUAAAAGAGAGGCUGCAGAAGAGCUGACAGAAGGUGCCACACUGGAGGAGAACACACACACACACAUGCAUGUGCGCACACACACCCAACUAUUCACCCAGCCCCGACAGCAAACUGAGCUCAGUUCUGAGAAUUUGACUAUGAGCCAAUGCCUGCCCCAGGGAGUGAGUUUAGCACAGGUCGACACAGUCUGAGAGGGGAGCAGCCAUUGAAGCAAGAACAUAAGAGCCAGCAACCUCGAAACUGGAGAUGAUGGCUUCAGACCUGAAUUCCAUGUCGGGAAUAUAGGAUCUAAAUGGAUGGAGAGGUGCGUUGUUUUCUAGAGUAUCACAGGGCUAUAAACAGGGAUAAGAGGAGAAAAGUAACUAAUACAUGAAAAAUCUAAUGGACAAGUGAUUAUCAGCAAAAUGCCUGGCUGGAGCUGGAAGCCUGGGGGCCACCUACCACAGCUGUUUUCACUCACACACUCUUAGCACAGUCUUGCCUUGUCCUGCACUGUCCUUGUCACCUCAGGCUCACCCUCCUCCAACCCUCCUGCUGCACAGAAAUGCCUUCCUUGAAGAUCGCUCUCACCUGGUGACAGGAGUGGGCAGUGGGGCCAGCCCAUCAGGUUUCCUAAUCCCACAAAGGAAGGAAAGGCCCACCAGUGUCCCCUCAGAGCCCACUGCCCACAACCCACACUGUCGGGCAUUUUUGCCUUUGACUCUGGUAUCAUCACAUCCAUUUUUCUCCCAGGGAGACAGUCUUAUCUUAGGUCUCUCGGCUAAGAAGUAGCAGCAGCACGAUUUAACAUCAGUUCCGCUUUUCUCCAAAACUCAGGUGCUUUUAAUCACACCAUAAAGCCCAUCAGAGUGCUAGUCCUAAACAUAAAGGUUCAAAAUUUUUUUCACGAAAUGUAGGUUUUAGACCCUUAACAAGUGGGGGCAAGAAUUUCUGACAGAAGCUGGUUUUGAAACUCCGGUUCUUAGGCUUCCUUUUCUUUCUCCCUCUGUGUUCAUUCACUCGUUCCCCUCUCUGGUCUUUCUCCCUUUAGCUUUUCCUUCUUCUAAUCUUAAGGGCAGGCGUUAGCCCCACCUGAUAUCCUGCCUUCCCUCUCUGGCGUAGACAACUGACGUUUUCUCCACCGCAUGUUGCGCACAGCUUCAAAGCAAGUCCCCUCGCCACACUCUUUCUAUCCAGGCUGGUGCACCAAUCCCAUGCUUCAUAGAUGCAUGGAUGUGCCAGGUCCAUGUUCUUGUGCAUCUAUUAAAUACCGUCUGAAUAUCCAGAACACCGUGCCUCUCAAGAAGCCAGGCCAGGAGCCCUGGCUGCCCCCACCAUUCCUGCAGUGCCCUUUCUGGAUCUUACUUUCCUCCAAUGGGCUGGAAUCCCAGGCUUUUCAUUUUCCCUACCCCUGUGUGAAGAAAAGAGAAAGAAUGUUCAGCAGCUAGGUGGAUGCAGGACAGGGACCCUUCCAUAUAAAGCCCCCGAAGAACAACUGAAAAUUGAACACAUGCCUUAAUUGUCUUCAGUUUCAAGCCUUGUGUUUUCCAAUAAGAAAAUGUUCUCCAUGGAAACAAUUGUUCUGGGGAUAAAAGACGAGGUCAUAUGAAGGUUAUAUACGGUCCUAUAAAAAGUCAUAUAAAAGACGAGGUUAUGAAGGUCAUAGCAGGCCCAUGGUGAGGAAGUGUGAGCGGAAGAAUGACUGGCCUGGUUCACACCAGGGGCCCCGGCUCUCCAGUUGGGGGUAGGGACAGGGGCAGGUAUGAGCGUGGCCUCUGUCCUCCUCUGGACACUUAUGUGAGGCUGCCUUUUGCUCCAAAAUCUGCUGUAACCUGAAAUGAAACACCUGAGCCAUAAAACAGAUGGGCUGAGAUUCAGGAAGGCCCACUCAGACGUCCUUACCAAUGGUGAGCAGAGGUCUGUUUGUAAAUAGAUUAGGAGGAUCAGACUGGUGGAUCAAAGGUGGGUAGUUAUAAAGCAGUAAUAUUUGGUGUGUGUGUGUGUGAGAGAGAGAGAGAGAGAGAGAAGCUUGUAUACUAUUUCAGACACAUUCAAGUGUAUUUGAGUAAGAGACAUCAGGCUCAGCUCAGGUGUUGCCUCCUCCAGGAAGCCUUCCCUGACUGCUCCUGGCAUGGCCUGCAGGGUGGGUUAGGCCUUCCUCCCACAUAUGCGGUAACCACUCAGCAUACCCAGCAGUACAUUCACUCAGUAUACUCCCGAGCUUGCGAACUCCUUGAGGACCAGGACUGUGUCUUUUUUGUCUCUACAACACCCACACUCAGUCGAGGGCCUGGCACAUAGUAGGCCUUCAAGCCCUGUGCGUGGCAUUGGAAGUGAGACUUCUUAAGAUUUAGGCAGUUGGAGGCAGGGUAAUUAGCAGUUUACCUUCAAGGGCUAUGGAGCCAGACUUCCUGAGACAGAGCCUACCAUCAGCCGGUAGUAACUGUGGGCUCUUGGGCCUCGAUUUUCUCAUCUGUAAAAUGGAGGUGUGACUGGCACCUGCCUCUUUGGACUGGUGUGUGUUGAACAAGAUAAUCUUACUCUAUUAUUAGGUAGAGGGAGCUUUCCAGAAUAGGAACAAAUGAACUAUAGUCCUGUCCCGACUUUUCCUCUAACCCGGGUCUUAGAGACCAACUCAUCCUAAAUCCUGUCUCCCUCAGUGUGACGUGUGAACGCAGCUGGAUCUUCUGGAAACAGCAUCUGGUCAUGUCUCUCAAGAGUCUGGGCUCUGUGACCAGGGGCCCGUGACUGCUGUCUGCUCAGGGAGCAGGUCACUUUAACUUUGGCAUUUCCCAGGAAGCUGAUGACAUCAGCCUGGUUCUGUCCACUUACGGGCAGUGGACAUCAGCCCCCUUCUGCGCACUUAAGCACUUCUCGCUGGUUGCUGUCUUACAGGAUGACCAUCGGAAAUUUGGAGUGGUGUUUAUUUCCUUGGUGCUUCCAAAGCUCUAGAUAGUUCACAGAUUGGGUAUUUCUCGGAAUUAACAUCCUCCCUAAAAGGAUUGCUCACUCCUACCCGCUGCUAAGCCCUUUUAUUAUUAUUACCCUACUGGCUCCCAUAAUGCUGUUAUUAGAUGGGCGGGAUAGCCUCCUUUUUGUGGAUCAGGAAUCCAAGACCCAAACGGGAGUCUCAAGGUCACGCAGAGAGCAGCAGUGUGUGCUGGAGGGUACGGUAGGACUCAGGAUCCUUCACGAGGAAAACUGUGUCCAGUUUUACAACACGUUUUGGCAGCGUAAGAAAUACUCCCUUCCUUAAAACCUUUCAGGACUGUAGCACAGAGUACUGUUUAUCCAUUCUCCCCUCCUUCCUCAGUAAUAAGGCAUCUGUGUUUUAACUAGGCACAUGAGCACCUGGAAUAAAGACUGCAUUCCCCAGCCUCCCUAGCAGGUGGUGUGGCUACAUGAUUCAGUUCUGGCCAGUGAGGGUAAGUGAAAAUGACACGGACUCUGAAAGGGAGAAAAACCUUCUGCUUUCUACCUUUGGAAGGCAGUUGCCAUGUAAGAAGGAGUAGUAGCCUGAAGCCACCAUACUGUGCGAAGCCCAAGCCCGGUGGAGAAGGCCUGGAGGAUGUAACCCCACGUGAAGAGGCAGGGGCCAUCCUCAGAGCACCGAGCCUCCUGCUGCGGAGGGAGCCAUCUUGGUCAUCCAGCCCGGACGAGCCUUCGGAUGACUGCAGGCCCAGCCACCAGCUGAUUGCCACCUGUGAGACUCAGAGCAAGACCUCCCCGCUGAGCCCAGCCCAAGAACAAACUUAUAAGAAGUAAUAAUAAAUAGUUGUUAAAAGCCAUUCUGUUUUGGGUGGUUUGUUAUGCAGCAUAGAAAAUGUGAACACUGGCACAGAGCAAGUGGUUGGUAAAUAUUUGUUGAAUGAAUGAUGGAUAGAUUCUAUUCUUUUCAUUCUUUGCUGGAACAUGGAGGUCCACAGUAAUUCUGAGACAGACCUAGAACCAGAACGUCUUCCAGGGUGGAGCUCUGGCUCUGGGCCGUGCUUCCUGGAGGCCUGUGAUUAAAUCCUUGCAAGACAAAUGCAAUAUGACGGCUUCUCCUGCAGGCGUGGAUCCAGGAUGUUGAGGAUACAACAUGGGAGAAGAGACUGGGGGAGUCAGCAGGUUGUCCUUGGCCUCUUUGCUCUGUGGCAUGUGCCAUCGUUAAACCACCAUGCACACAGCUAAAACAGCUGAACAAAGAGUGAGAUGGGCAGGAAGUGAGGACGUUCUUGAGAUGCAAAACAAUGGAGGUGAGACACAAUGUCGAUCACAGCCACGGCUAUCUCUGGGCAGUGGCGUUACAGGUUAAUUAAAAAUAUUUUCUUCCUUUUCCUCAUCUGCAUUUUCUAAACACCUUUCAAAGCAUGUCUUACUGUUUUACUAAAAAUAAGAACUAGGGCCAGCCCCGUGGCCCAGUGGUGAAGUUCAUGCUCUCUGCUUCAGCAGCCCAGGGUUUCAUGGGUUUGGAUUCUGGGCGUGGACCUAGCACUGCUCAUCAAGCCAUGCUGAGGUGGCGUCCCACAGAACAGAACUAGAAGGACCCACAACUAGGAUAUACAUCUAUCUACUGGGGAGCUUUGGAGAGAAGAAGGAAAAAAAAGAAAAAAAAAGAAACAUUUUUAUUUAAAGACUUUAGUUGUGCUGUGAACUUUGCAGAAGGCAAAAACAACCCAACCAAACUGAAAUAGACAAAACAACCAAACGAAAACCCAGGCUCCAAAAUUGCAUUCUCAGCAGCCAGUCACUUUUUUCUUUUUUUUUGGUCUCAAAGGCCAUUAUUUCAGGAAAUAAAGAAAUAAGCAUAUCGCAAAGUAUCUUAUAAAUGAUAAAUGAGAGUGAGCAUCAGAAUGGGGUGACAAGUGGGUGGCAGCAUCUGGAAACCAGGUGCAGAGCUUGCCCCCAUCUUUAUUUUUCUGUGGAAUAUUUGGCUUGGGUCAUCGAUGCCCAAUCCAGCAGCAUCCUAGACUCAUCAAACCCUCUGAUUUAUAAUUAUCCAGAAUUAGCUUGCCCUUUGGAACCUAUUUUUGGUCAUUAUGCUCAUUUGUGUGAUUAAUUAUACCUUAUCAAGAGACCAAGAUAUAUUCUCUGAAAACAAAACCUUUCCAGAUUUGGGGGGAGUAAUUUCCAGCUCAGUCAGCUCCAGAACCGUUUAACACUGAGUCACCAGCAGAGAAUCACUGCUCCCAAUGUGGGCAGCUCAGGAUUUGGAAAUCUGCUGAGGAAAAAGAAAUUAAAACUAGAAAAAGGAGCUUGGGAAUAACUCUGCCUUUUCAGUUGGGGUCUCCCAGAGUUCUCCUAAGGGCGAGUUCCUGACUGUUUCAUCUCAUUUCAUUCCUCAGGCAUUUAUUGACUCCUGCUUGAAUGUCAGGAGCUGUUUGGGCCACUGGCUCCCCAUGACACAUGUCAUUCAUUCACUCAUCAAUUCAUUCAGUAUGAAUUUAGUGAGCACUUGAUAUGCACCAAGCAUCGCUCUAGUCUACAUUCCUGUGUUAUAUCAAUGAACAAAACAGACAUAAAUCCCUGUCCUGGUCAAAAAUUACAAUAAAACUUACACAUAAGAAAAUGAUAUUGUGUGUUAGAAGGUGGCAAGAACUAUGGAAAAUAAGAAAACAGAAACAGAGUAAGGGGCAUCAGGAGGAUGGUGGUGGUGUGUGUGUGUGAGUGCAAUUUUGCAGUUGUUAAAUAGAGUAAUGUAGUGGGUUGAAUAAUGGCCCCCAAAAAGAUAUGUCUGAAUUCUAACCUCUGGAACCUAUGAAGGUAACCAUAUUUGGAAAAAGGGUCUUUACAGAUGCAAUUCAGUUAAUGGUCCUGUAUUAGCCAGGAUUCUCCAGAGAAACAGAACCAAUAGGAUAUAUCUAUAUCUAUAACUCUAUCUAUCUAGAUAUAUACAAGAGGAGACAUAUUGUAGGAAUUGACCUACGCAGUCUUGGAGGCCAAGAAGUUCCAACAUCUGCUGUCUGGAAGCUGGAGAACCAGGAAAGCUGGUGGUAUAAUUCAGUCGGAGUCUGAAGGCCUGAGAAUCUGGGGGCUGAUGGAGUAAGUCCUGAUCUGAGUCCAAAAGCCCAAGAACCAGGAGCGCCGAUGUUCAAGGGCAGGAGAAGACAGAUAUGUCUCUGCUGAAGCAGAGAGAAAGCAAAUUCACCUGCCUCUACCCUUUUGUUCUAUUUGGGAUCUCAAUGGAUGGGACGAUGCCCACCUGUAAUGCGGAGGGCCAUCUGCUUUACCCAGUCUACCAAUUCAAAUGCGAAUCUCUUCCGGAAACACCCUCACAGACACACUCAGAAACGAUGUUUUACCAGCUAUCUGGACAUCCCUCAGUCCAGUCAAGUUGACACAAAAAAUUAACCAUCACAGGUCUUGAAAUGAGAUCAUCCUAGAUUAUCCAGGUGGGCCCUAAAUCCGAUGACAGGUGUACUUAGAAGAGAAAAGGCAGAGGAAGGUUUGAGACACAGGCACAGGUAAAAAGUCGAUGACAGAGACUGGCAAGUCAAGGAAUACUUGCAGCCACCAGAAGCUGGAAGAAGAAAGGAAGGCAUCCCCCCCAGAGACUGUGGAGUGUGGCUGUGUCAUCACCUUGACUUCGGGCUUCUGGCCCCCACGCUGUUAGAAAAUAAAUGUCUCUUGUGUUUUAAGGCACCAGUUUGUGGUAAUCUGUGUUUGUAGUCCUAGGAGCAAACACAAACGGUCAGAGUAGGUUUCAUGGAAAAGUGACAUUUGAGUGAAGUCUUAAGGAGAUGGGGAGAUGAGCUGUGUGAGUAUCUAGGGGGAGAGCUGUUUGUGUAUAGGGAAUGGCCCACUCUCAGGGCAGUGUGCCUGGUGUGUGUGGAAUGACACAGCCUCCGCCUGUGUGGCUGAAGCAGGAGGGGUGAAAGGGAGGGGAGUAAGAGGAGACAAGGACAGGGAAGUAACAGAGGGACCAAAGGAGGCUGACAGAACAUGCAGGGCCUCUGAGGGUGUUUUAAAACCUUUGGAAUAAUGGUGCAUGUGGAAUUAACCAUCAAAACACCACUACUGAGCAUCUGUUACAUGACUAGUACUGUGGCGGGUUCUUCAUGUACUUGAUCUCAGCUAUUCCUCUCAAAGACUUCAUGAGGAAGGUUGCAUUCCCUUAACUUCAUGUAUGGGAAGUUCUGCAUUAUCUACACACAGUUGCAUAAUUAGAGAGUAGUGGAGCUGAACCCCAGAGCCAGUCUCCUCUGCCCCAAAGCCCACACUCUUCCUACCCAUCACACAGUCUUGCAAGCACAUGCACCAUAAGGGAUGAGAAGGGAACUUCCUCAAUCUAAUAAAGGACAUCUACAAAAAAGCUACAGCUGGCAUGGUACUUAAUGACGAAACACUAAAUACUUUCCCCUCAGGAUUAAGAACAAGGCAAGGUUUUCCAGCUUCUGUAUUCUUGUUCAACAUCAUAUUGAAAGUCCUAGUCAGUGCAAUAAGGCAAGAAAGAGAAAUGAAGGCAAACAGAUUGGAAAGGAAGAAAUAAAGCUGUCCCUGGUUGUAAAUUACAUGAAAAUCCAAGGAAUCUUUUUUUUUUUUUUUGAGGAAGAUUAGCCCUGAGCUAACUGCUGCCAAUCCUCCUCUUUUUGCUGAAGAAGACUGGCCCUGAGCUAACAUCCAUCUUCAUCUUCCUCUACUUUAUAUGUGAGAUGCCUACCACAGCAUGGCAUGCCAAGUGGUGCCAUGGCUGCACCCGGGAUCCGAACCGGCAAACCCCGGGCUGCCGAGAAGUGGAACGUGUGCACUUAACUGCUGCGCCACCAGGCCAGCCCCCAAGGAAUCUGAUUUUUAAAAAAAUUUCAAGAACUAAUAAGUGAGUUUGGUAAGGUUGUAGGAUGCAAAGUCAGCACACAAAAUUCAAUUGUAUUUCUACAUGCUAGCAAUGAACAACUGGACACCAAAACUUUUAAAAAAAAUAUCACUUAUAAUGGUUACCCACAAAAUUAAAUACUUAGGUAUAAAUCUAACAAGACAUAUAUAAGGUCUGUAUGAACACUAAUGGAUGAAAAAAAAUCAAAGAAGACCUAAGUAAAUAGAGAGACAUACCAUGUUCAUGGAUUGGAAGACUCAACACAGUAAAAAUGUCAGUUUUUCUCAGAUCGAUUUAAUGCUGUUCCAAUCAGAAUCCUAACAGAAUUUUCAAAAAAUAUAUAGAUAAGCGGACUUUAAACUUUAUAUGGAAAAUCAAAGAACUAGAACAGUCAAAACAAUUUUGAAAAAAAAAAAAUUUGCAGGAAUUAUACUAUACAAUUUAAAGACUUAUUCUAAAGUCUACAAUCAUCAAAGCAGUGAAGCAAUUAGCAAUGGGUCUAUUAAUAAAGUGAUAGACACAUAAAUUAAUAGGACAGAAUAGAAAGUCUAGAAAUAGAUGCACACAAAUAUGGCCGAUUGAUUUUUUGCAAAGGUAAUUCAAUGGAGAAAGGAUAUUCUUUCAACAAAUGGGGUUUGGACAAUAGGACAUAUAUAUGCAAAAGAAAAAGAAAGAGAAAACAGAAAAAGCAGAAUAAAACGAAAUUCACCCUAACCCUCACAGCUUAUACAAAAAUUAACUGGAAAUGGUUCAUAAAUGUUAAGGUAAAACAUAAAGUUAGACUUCAGUGGAGUGGAGUCAUAGAACAAACUGGAAAUUGGGUCCUUUCACGUCACUACAUUAAAAAAAAGAAAAGAAAAUUUACCCCCUUUAAUUUGGAAGAACAAAAGGAAGUGAAAGAAAGGAAAAAAUGCCGGGAAAGAAACUGGUGAAUGACAUGGAGGAAUGUGGUCUGGGGAUCUGCUAGGGAACACGAACUCUGCAGAAUAGCAGUGUACUGACAGACAGACAGACAGCCUUUGAACCCAGGCUCGUUCACUCGUUUGUUCAUUUGUUCAGACAUUGAUCGAGCCCCUCUUGUAUCUGAGAUGCUAAGUAUACAACAGUGAACAAACUAGACACCAUCUUCUUCUGUACCUCAUGAAGAUUACACUGAAGCACGGGAAACAGGCUUGAAACUAAUAACCUAAAACACUAAUAAUUAGAUAACAACAACUAGUGAUGAGUGUUAUGAAAGAAAACAGGGCACCCUGCUAUGAAAGAGAAGAAAAAAGACCUACUUUAGGCUGGGUGGGGGUCAAGGCAGGUCUUUCUGAGAAGGAGUCAGAGAAGGAUGAGUAGGAAGAAGCCAGGACAAGAUGGAUGGGGAUGGGGCUCCAGGUAGCAAGAGCCUUCAUAGAGGGCUCAGGUGGAAGGAACUGGUUGAACAUGAGGGACAGGAAGGAAGCCCUGGUGGAUGGUGGAGGGGGAAGGGAGGGUGCGGCAUGAGAUGCGACUGGAGAGGAUAUUGACAGGCUUUUAUCCAAGGGAGUGACGUGAUUCAACAUACAUUUCAAAAGAUGAUCCUGGCUACGUAUGAAAAGUGGUCUACUGGUAGAGAGGAAGGCAGGGGAAAUAGCUGGAAAGUCUUUACAGUGGUCCGUGGUGGCCUUAUAGGUGGGAUGUCAGUGGAGAUGGAGAAAAGUGAACAGGUCUGAGAGAUAUUUUGGAAGUAGUAGUGUGAACUAUAUGAAAUUUUCAAUAUUUGCCUAAUUUUUACUUACAAAAGUGGCAAUUUCCUAUGAUGUGGCCUAAUAGAAUUGGCAGGACUUGGUAAUGGACUGGAUUUGGAGGGUGAAGAAGAGGAAGACGUCAAGAAUGACCUCCAUGUUUCUGGCUUUAGUGACAGAGUAUGUGGAAGCGCCCUUUACUGAGAUGGGAAGGAGGGACGGGGGUGGGGUUAUGGGCUCGGGUGGAAGAAGUUCAGUUUACAGACGUGAGGCUGGAGACACCUGUGUGAUCUCCGGAGAGAGGCACCAGUGUGGCAGUCGGAUCUAUGAUUUGGGAGCUCAGGAGAAUUCCAGCUAAGGUACGUAUGUAGGGUUCAGCAUAUUAGAUGAUAACUAAAAACAUGGAAGUAGAUAAGCUCUAGGAGAAAGUUCAGAAUGGGAAGAGCAGAGGGCCCAGGAGCUCCAACCUUUAGAGGCUGGGUAUAGGAGGAGCAGCAAGAAAAGGAAGGAGUCAGAGACACAGGAGGAAAACCAGGAGAGGGUGGUGUCAGGGAGGCCAAGAGAGGAGCAGUGUGAACCCGGGAGAGAGUGGUCGAUUGCGUUGAAUGCUAUUGAGGGGUCUCACAAGAUGAGAUAAUGAUCACGUAUAGUUUAAAAUCCAAGCUGAGAAAAUAUGUCAGCUACUUUUUCCAGUGAGCAAUUUCAAAAACAGAUUUCACUGUACAUAAAAAAUAGAAUCAGUAACACCACAGACAGGAAGCAUUACAAUUGGUGUUGACGGGUCUAAUAACACGAACACUUACCUCAUAUUUGUUCUGUGCCAGGCACUGUUCUAAGUAUUUAUAUAUUCACUCAUGUAAGCCUCACAACCACCUCGGAGAUGGGCAGGCUUACCCCUGUUUACGAAUGGGGCAAGGGUAAAUAACGCCCCAAUCACAAGGCUAGUGUGAGGGGCCUGGGGCUGGAUCCGGGCAUUCUGGCCCUGAGCUUAGUGCUCAUAAGUAUAACACUCUCAUUAAGGCUUGGCAGAUUCCUCAACAAACGUGAAAGCUGUUUGAAAAGAAUUACAGUGUCACAGUUGAUGCAUACAGACAGCUGCCAAAGGUGAAUUCAUUUUCAGUUUUAAGUUUUAGUGCAUUUCCGUGUGUGUGUGAUGUAACUUCUCUAAUCCUGAGCAGAUCGGUUGCCACACGUGGCAGAUUGUUUCCAAGAUGGUUAGAAAAAUAUCUCCCAUCCAGUGUGCCUUUGCUUCUCCUCCGUCAAGAGUGGGGUCUAGGGCCGGCCCGGUGGCGCAGCGGUUAAAUAUGCAUGUUCUGCUUCUUGGCAGCCUGGGGUCCGCUGGUUGGGAUCCUGGGUGAGGACAUGGCACCGCUUGGCAAACCAUGCUGUGGUAGGCGUCCCACAUGUAAAGUGGAGGAAGAUGGGCACGGAUGUUAGCUCAGGGCCAGUCUUCCUCAGCAAAACGAGGAGGAUUGACAGCAGAUGUUAGCUCAGGGCCAAUCUUCCUAAAAAAAAAAAAAAGGAAGAGUCUAUUUCCCUCCCCUUGGAUCUGGGCCAUCCUCUGUGACUUGCUCCAGCCAGUUAGACUAUGGUGGAAAUGAUGUUCUGGAACUUCCAAGCCCAGGCCGUCAGAUGCUUUUUGCUUCUGCUUUCACUGAGGGGAAGCAGCCUCCACAUAGAGAAGUGAGGCUAUUCUGCUGGAGGGACAGGACGCCUGGAGAGAGGCCCUGGAGGACAAGACAGAAUGAAUCCAGGGAGGCCACAGGGGAAGUCCGAGCUCGUAGGUAGCAGCGAGGCCCCAGACAGAGGGGUGAGGCUGUCCUGGAUCUGACAGCCCUGCUGAACUCUUAGGGAAAUGCAGCCGCAGGAGUGAACCAGCCAACACCAUGUGAAGUAGAGUCUUCACUGAGCCCUGCCCGAAUUCCUGACCCACAGAGUCAUGAGCAAUAAUAAAUGGUGGUUCUUUUAAGCCACUGAGUGCUGGGUGAUCUGUUAUGCAGCAACACCUAACCGGUCAAGUCCAUCUGCAUCCUCGCUCUCUGUUCCUGGGGAAUACCUGAGGUCCAGGUAGAGCCGUUUACUUUGAGUCACAAAUUUACAGAAGUCCUGGAAGGCCUGGGCUAGACCCUCUCUCUGUCUCCAUUUGGCUUCACGGACCCAAUAAAGGAGAUCCAGCUCUGUUAACAGCUACUUCUCUGACAUCAAAAUAUCAGUGGAUUUCUUUGGAUGGUGUAGUUAUAGGUAAUUUCCUGCAUUUCUCAAUUUUUCUGGAAUUAGCAAAAAUUGCUUCAAUAAUGUGGAAAGAGAUGCUAUGGCUCUCUUCCACACUAUGGCAACUACUAUUGGUAGGCUGCAGAGCGGCCAUCCCCAAUCCUUUUCUUCUUUCCCAUUCGGCCUUAAAGAGCCAGGUCCUCAUUUUUCUAGUCUCCCUUGCAGGUAGAGAUGAUCUUGUGACCAAAUACGAUCCAAUAAGAUACAAAGGUAAGUCUGAGGGGCUUCUGGGCAAGAAUUUUCCUUUCCAGACCAAAAAAAAAAAGAAGAGCUACACAGGAGACCUCUUUCUUGCUCUCCUCCCUCUGCUCCCUACCUUUGGAUGUGGUCACCUAACUUGGUGAUGUCUGGAGCUCCUGCAGCCAUCUUGUAACCAUAAGGCAAUAAAUCCACAGUUGGAAAAAAGUCUUCUCCAAAAAAAAAAAAAUGGAACAGAAGGAUGGAAAGCACCUGGCUUCUUGAUAGCAUGAUUAGUUGCUGAACCAAUUGGGAGACUUCCUAUCUCUUGACUAUUUGUUAUCUAAUUGACAAAUGUAAUUAUGGCUUAAACCACUGUUAGUUUUUUUUUUUUUUUACUUACAGCUGAAAGCAUUCCUAGCUGAUGCAAUAACCCUGUGGGUAUUUAACACUCCCUUACUAGUACUCAGUUUUCCCAUGUGGCUAAAUGCAAUUUCUCCCUUUGUAAAUUAAUCCUUUUCUCUCUUACUUUGUCUCAGUGGAAACAAAGACUUGCUGGUAACCAAUCUUUGCCUAAUUAAACCUUUUAGAUAUGUAAUAGCUCUUGUUAAGAGUUAAUCUUUAGUUACCCCACAAUCCAGUUUGUGGGACCCAUUUGCCUACCUUUAGCUGUGAUGGUGGUAAUGUCACUACCUGGUGGCUUUGGCAGUAGUGGAUAGGUGGCAUGUGUCCUGCUGCUUUCCUUCUUAGCCUCACUGAGCAGCACAGAAUCAUGCCCUCACCAGUCACUACACCCCCCACACAGGAAGGUACCCUCAGGAAGGGCGAGGUCUGCCCAAGUCUGCCAGAAGCAAAGAUAAAGGAAAACUCAGGUCAAUCUCAGCCACAACGACCUAAACUAGUUUUCUGUUUUUAUUUUAACUUUGUAUUAUGGCAAUUUGAAACAUAUACAAAAAUAGACUAUACAAACAUACACAUACACAAAAAUAAAUGUAUACAAAAAAUAGAAGUGUGUUACAAACCUCUGUGUACCUAGCACUCAGCUUCAACAAUUAAUAAUUUGUGACUUUCUUUUUUAUGCUGUCCUCCUGCCCACCUAACUACCUCCCAUAUUAUUUUGAAGCAAAUCCCAGACAUUGUAUCAUUUUAUCUAUAUUCAUUUCAGUAUGCAUCUCUAAAAGCUAACAAUUCUUUUAAAAGUAUAACCACAAUAUUAAUAGCACACAAAAAUAAUUCGUUAAUAUCAUCAUUAUUCAGUCAAUGUUCAAAUUUCCACUAAUUAUCUUUUAAAAAUUGGUUGUAUAUAAUUUUUUUAAAGAUUUUAUUUUUCCUUUUUCUCCCAAAGCCCCCCGGUACGUAGUUGUGCAUUUUUAGUUGUGGCUCCUUCCAGUUGUGGCAUGUGGGACGCCACCUCAGCAUGGCUUGACGAAUGGUGCCAUGUGCGUGCCCAGGAUUCAAACUGGCGAAACCCUGUGCCACCAAAGCGGAACACACGAACUUAACCACUCGGCCAUGGUGCCGGCCCCUCAUUUUUAUAGUUGACAGAAAAGUAGCACAUACUCAAUGAAGAACUUUUGCAAAAUAUAAAAAAACACAUAGAAGAAAAUUUCUACUCACUCAUCAUCCCCAGAGCUGACUCCAGUCUGUAUGGUGCCAUGUAUGAUUAGAAAAAGAUGGACCUUCCCAGCAGGCACAGCCCAGUGCCAGGAUGGCAGCCACUGCUUGUUCUCUGGGGCAGACGCCAUGGAGCCUUGCACGUACUGGGCUGUUGCAUGUUCACAGCGCUGAGUGUUUCAUCAAUGUUUACAUUUUGGAGUACAGCCUUCCAGAUUUUCUAUGGAUAUACACACAAUUUUUACGGAAUUCUUUUCAUACUGUACAUUCUGUUUUCUAAGCAGUUUUUUUUUACUUAACAGCAGACCAUAAACAUUUUGCCAUGUCAUUGAAUUUGCUUCCAAAGCAUGACUUUCUGUGGCUGCCUUGGGGGGCAUUGCACGGCUGUGCCACCACUCAUUUAAGCAGUGGCCAAUUGUUUAGACCUAUGGUCCUUAGAGUGCGGUGCCUGUCUUUGGGAGGUAAAACACAGGCGAAAAUAUCGUGUCCUUCUUGGGAGGAACAUUAGAACACGCAGGGGAGUUUCUGCACAUGCAUUGCACGAUCAUGAAGUUUCAAUUGGUUCCACCCAUGGGUUUGGGAAGAAAGCAAAGGUAUGGUUCCACUUAACUCAACUCACGCCUUGUGGGGCAGGGUGAGCUAUCCGUUGGCAUGUUUAGAUUCCCAGAGCGGUUCCACAGUAAACAAGAGACUUCAGUGAAGAGCAGUGAGGCAAGGAAAUAGAACAUAUCUAUUAGGACAGUCACUCUCAAAGUUACACAACCAGGAAAUUAGGGCUUGGGCAACCAGCCGCAGCCAAUGUGUGAGGUUGACAGAAGGCAGCGGGCAUGAGGGUUUUCUCAGACCAGUGUUGCUGGGUGUUAGAAACCCAGCCAUAACUGAUUUCAAGCCACCAACUAAUGCUUUGUAAGAUGCAUCAUUACAGACUGAAGGCAUGGGGCAAUGGAUUCUUGGAGAAAUCAGCAGCUCAUAAUCUCCAUCUCUUGAGAAUUAAGAAAAACAUCAAGGUUAAUUGCAAAGCAUCCAUUUGCCCAAACCCAAGGCCCACAGUCAGCCCUAAGCCACAGUAUUUUCUUUUCUUUUCUUUGAGGAAGAUUAGCCCUGAGCUAACCACUGCCAGUCCUCCUCUUUCUGCUGAGGAAGCCUGGCCCUGAGCUAACAUCCGUACCCAUCUUCCUGUACUUUAUAUGUGGGAAUACUUCCACAGCAUAGGGUACCAAGUGGUGCCAUGUCCACACCUGGGAUCUGAACCGGCGAGCCCCGGGCCACCGAGGAGUGGAACCUGCGCACUUAACCACUGCGCCACUGGGCCAGCCCCAUAAGCCACAGUAUUUUCUACACCAGCUCUUAUCUUCUUUAUGGAAUCCACUGAAUCAAAUGACUCAGUUUAACGGAGUCAUUGCGACAGGGUGAGGUCAGAGGGCAGAUGUAAACCAGGAAUUCCUAACCCCAGAGGCCACUCCCAUGGGUCAUAGAGUUUGGUAAGUACUUCAAAAUCCCUGAGAUGGGAAGGCCACUUAAAUGGAAAUGAUCAGAAUUAGGUAGGUCAGCCUAAAGAAGGAUUAAGAGGAAAAGUCCCUCUGAUUUUACAUCGACUCAUAAAUUCAAGUUUAAAAAUUGAUAAGGAGUCCAUAUCAUUGAGCCUUGGUAAAGGGCAUUUCUCAGGAAAAGCGGAGGCGCAGAGCGUCGGGUCUUCCUCAAAGAUGACUUGCACACUGCAAUGACCUGCUAAAGGGGAGCAGCCUUCCUGAGCCUCUUCAUGAGGAAGUUGAAGCAGACCCUCCGCUCUCCUCAAAUGAUCAGGGCCCCAGUUAACCCCAGAAGUGACCCAGGCA
rnacentral:lncRNA from 1 species